AUUGAACGCUGGCGGGAUGCUUAACACAUGCAAGUCGAACGGCAGCGCGGACUUCGGUCUGGCGGCGAGUGGCGAACGGGUGAGUAAUGUAUAGGAACGUGCCCAGUAGCGGGGGAUAACUACGCGAAAGCGUAGCUCAUACCGCAUACGCCCUAAGGGGGAACGCAGGGGAUCGUAAGACCUUGCACUAUUGGGGCGGCCGGUAUCGGAUUAGCUAGUUGGUGAGGUAACGGCCCACCAAGGCGACGAUCCGUAGCUGGGAUGAGAGGGCGACCUGCCACACUGGGACUGAGACACGGCCCAGACUCCUACGGGAGGCAGCAGUGGGGAAUUUUGGACAAUGGGGGCAACCCUGAUCCAGCCAUCCCGCGUGUGUGAUGAAGGCCUUCGGGUUGUAAAGCACUUUUGGCAGGAAAGAAACGUCGCGUGCUAAUACCCCGUGGAACUGACGGUACCUGCAGAAUAAGCGCCGGCUAACUACGUG
rnacentral:rRNA from 1 species